UGGUCUAUACCGGGCCAAUACAUUUAUUCAAUGAUCAUACACGCAAUGGUUUCAUGAGGAAAAAUUGACCACUGAAUGUGGCAUAUUGUGUCCAUGCACUUAUACAUAGUAAAAUGAAAAGAAAAACAAAAAACACAUUUCACAUAUAACUUUGUAAAUGUCCAUGAAACCUCUUCUCUCAGACUUAACAAGUGUGUCAUGCACACCCAACUUUCGUCCGAAACGAAACAAAAUCGUUUAUCUGAAAAGAUACAAAAGUUAUUAACAUAUUCUUGAUAAACAUGGUAUUUCUAAUGAAACACAUAAAAAUAAAAAAAUAAAAAACAUCGAGGGUGGGUGGGAGGACGACCAAUUUUCUGAUGGUUCAACUGGCCCGGUACAACCUCGAAUGACGAAAACACGUGGACAAACGGCUUUUAUACCAGCCGUUUGGUUAUAUAAACCCACUGACCAUUACCAUAUAUGGCAAUAGUCGGAAAUACGCCCCCCCCAUAUAUGGUAAUUAUCGUAAAUACGAUUUAUUCCGAACACAAAAUAAAUAUAUUUAUUGUCACCUACAAAAAUCUAACGUUUAUCUUUACUUUAAUGUGAUAACUAUUUCGAAGAUAUUAGGUCUAAAUUCAAUUUGAUGUAUCAUAAAUUAUGGAUAUAGUGGUUUCUUGAAAUAUUUGUGCUAAAGAUAUGGGUUUUUUUAAUCUUAAUUUUGUUUACAAUAUACGAUGACAUCUAAGACAGUGAAGCACACUUUCGCCUUUAACCGAUACAUUUAUAUGCGUCAGGGAAAACUUGCAUAAUUAAUACAAAGCACGAUUUCCUUUUUGUAGGUGAUUCAUUGGUUUGUUAAAGAUGCACUCUUACUCCCAAAUAAGAUUCACCACAAUUGAUACAAUUCUUUAAAUAUACCGUCAAUAACUAUGGUUCUUAUGAAGGAUAACGAGUUUGAUUUAAAAGAAAAGUGCAGAAAACACAGUAUUUCUACCCAAUGCGACGAUAGUAAAUCACUGUAAAUCUUUAAGCAUUCACAAAUCAUUUAAAAAAAAAAUUGCGUUUUCAGCUAUAAAAAAAAUAGUUUCAGUCUUGUUAUCAGAAAUUAAUAUUUUCCAUAUUUUUUUAUGCAUUAUUAAGUAAGUAGUUUAAGGUUUAUCACUCAAAAUUUAGGUUUGUUAUACAUGUGUAUGUAUUAAUUUUGAAUAAGAGUGUCACUUUAAGGAAAUUCAUUUCCUUGUUAAACUGUAAUAAAAUUAAAGUCAUCAACAAAUUAGAUAAUUUAGGUAACACGCACACAUUCAUAAGAAGAUACAUUAUAAAAAUCAUAAAACCACAGUAAAUAGGCAUGUAGCAAACAAGCACUUGUCGAAUCUAUUUGAUAUAGUCGAUAUUUCGAUAAAAAGGGACACACAAGACCCAAUCUGAUCCUGACUUCGGGUCAUAAAUAGAUCCUUAAGGUUGGUAAAUGGAAAGAUGGGUUAUUUGUUAGUGACAAGUUAUAUAUCUAUUCACUUUCGCGGAAGACACUUUGAACGAUAUAAUAAUUAUAUCAUUGUUGAAAAUGAGAGCAUUGAGGCUCUCCACACUCUCUUGUGUUGUAAAUUAAAAUUUCUCGUACGAGUCUUUGUAUUUCUAUAUGAUCAUUUUCAGAUUUGGGUUUGCCCUCUAACAAAGCUGAAUAAAAAAAUAAACUAGAUGUAUUUCAAAAUUUAUCAAUAUAAGCGCGAGAUUGAUAAGGGCUUAUUAAAACAAAAAAAAAGUUGAAUGAUCAUGUUUUGCGACGUAGAAGAGGACAUUAAUCGCUUUCGACGACCAUUAUCGCGAUCAGUAAGAAGGUCUAAGGCAUUAUAUAAGACCUCUACUUAAGUUGCAAAUAUAACAGAUCGGUGUCUCCUGCAAACCAGCAAGAACCAUGAAGGUCCUUUUCAUCCUGAGUAUGUGUCUUGCACUGGCACUCUGUGGACCCUUCGGUGCCCUAUACGUUGACCCUGGAUACGGUGGUAAUUACGUUGGAUACGGUCGUCGUUACGGUAGAUACGGUCGCCAUUACGGUGGAUACGGUCACCGUUACCGUGGAUAUCGUCGCCGUUUCGGUCCAUACGGUCGACAACAUGGACACGGCGGUGGACACGGUGGCGGUGGAUAUGGAUAGGUCGCGGUUAGGCUGGCUGUGGUGGCGGCUACGGAUCGUAUACGGCCAUGGUUUUGGCUACGCUCAUCAUUAUCAACAUUGUCUUGAAAACAUAUCGGGAGCGUGGAUCUGUAAUGACGAUAAUUGUUUCUGAUAAAUACAUUGAUAUUUUGUUUCUGUUUAAAUGUCUAAGUUUACGUUACAAAAUAUGUUUACAACUUUGCGUUACUAAAAACAUUUUUGAAAUCAUCAUGAAUGUUGCGUUUAAUUCUUUAUAAACAUCCAUUUUUGUACAAUUUGAAGCAUAUGACUUGUCUAAUUUUCUUUUCAUCAUUACUCAAAAAAUGUUUGAGUGUUAAUCUUUAUCCUACACAUCUUUUUAAAGUCAAUUGAAUAUAUUUAGGCUGAAUUAUACCACACAGUAAGAUUCAUCUUGUUGAUCGAUUGUGGGUGAGUAAUAGUAAACAGCUUUACCUCGAAUAUCGAUCUGCAGUUCUAGAGGAUAGAGAGAUCCUCCCACAUCCGGGAGCUCUAAGCGUCGAUGAAAGAAUCGCAAAGAGCCGCUGUCCCAUAGAGCAUCAGAGGAGUUUAAUAAAACUGCUCGAACAACCCGCACCAUCAUUAUGAUCUUAGUACAUGUAUAUAAUUUCCGAAGUUGUAAAAAUAUUUUGCAAAUAUAUACAUAUAUAUUUA